GCAAGCGUUGUCCGGAAUUACUGGGCGUAAAGCGCGUGUCGGCGGGACGGUACGUCGGACGUGAAAGGCUCGGGCUCAACCCGAGAAGGCCGUUCGAAACUGCCGUUCUUGAGGGUCGAAGAGGAGAGUGGAAUUCCUGGUGUAGCGGUGAAAUGCGUAGAGAUCAGGGGGAACACCCGUGGCGAAGGCGGCUCUCUGGGCAGUAACUGACGCUGAGGAGCGAAAGCGUGGGGAGCGAACAGG
rnacentral:rRNA from 1 species